CAGCAGCCGCGGUAAUACGGAGGGAGCUAGCGUUGUUCGGAAUUACUGGGCGUAAAGCGCACGUAGGCGGCUUUGUAAGUUAGAGGUGAAAGCCUGGAGCUCAACUCCAGAAUUGCCUUUAAGACUGCAUCGCUUGAAUCCAGGAGAGGUGAGUGGAAUUCCGAGUGUAGAGGUGAAAUUCGUAGAUAUUCGGAAGAACACCAGUGGCGAAGGCGGCUCACUGGACUGGUAUUGACGCUGAGGUGCGAAAGCGUGGGGAGCAAACAGGAUUAGAUACCCGUGUAGUCCCUGUCUCUUAUAC
rnacentral:rRNA from 1 species